rnacentral:rRNA from 1 species
GAUGGCGGCGCUGUCUCCACCCGAGACUCAGUGAAAUUGAAAUCGCUGUGAAGAUGCAGUGUAUCCGCGGCUAGACGGAAAGACCCCGUGAACCUUUACUGUAGCUUUGCACUGGACUUUGAGCCUGCUUGUGUAGGAUAGGUGGGAGGCUUUGAAGCGUGGACGCCAGUUCGCGUGGAGCCAUCCUUGAAAUACCACCCUGGCAUGCUUGAGGUUCUAACUCUGGUCCGUGAUCCGGAUCGAGGACAGUGUAUGGUGGGCAGUUUGACUGGGGCGGUCUCCUCCUAAAGAGUAACGGAGGAGUACGAAGGUGCGCUCAGACCGGUCGGAAAUCGGUCGCAGAGUAUAAAGGCAAAAGCGCGCUUGACUGCGAGACAGACACGUCGAGCAGGUACGAAAGUAGGUCUUAGUGAUCCGGUGGUUCUG